rnacentral:rRNA from 1 species
UACGUAGGGGGCAAGCGUUGUCCGGAAUCAUUGGGCGUAAAGCACGCGUAGGCGGCCCGGUAAGUCCGCUGUAAAAGUCCAGGGCUCAACCCUGGAAAGCCGGUGGAUACUGUCGGGCUAGAGUCCGGAAGAGGCGAGUGGAAUUCCUGGUGUAGCGGUGGAAUGCGCAGAUAUCAGGAAGAACACCGAUGGCGAAGGCAGCUCGCUGGGACGGUACUGACGCUGAGGCGCGAAAGCGUGGGGAGCGAACAGG